GAUGAACGCUGGCGGCGUGCCUAAUACAUGCAAGUCGAGCGAACGGACGAUAAGCUUGCUUCUCUGAUGUUAGCGGCGGACGGGUGAGUAACACGUGGAUAACCUACCUAUAAGACUGGUAUAACUUCGGGAAACCGUAGCUAAUACCGUAUAAUAUUUUGAACCGCAUGGUUCAAAAGUGAAAGACGGUCUUGCUGUCACUUAUAGAUGGAUCCGCGCUGCAUUAGCUAGUUGGUAAGGUAACGGCUUACCAAGGCAACGAUGCAUAGCCGACCUGAGAGGGUGAUCGGCCACACUGGAACUGAGACACGGUCCAGACGCCUACGGGAGGCAGCAGUAGGGAAUCUUCCGCAAUGGGCGAAAGCCUGACGGAGCAACGCCGAGUGAGUGAUGAAGGUGUUCGGAUCGUAAAACUCUGUUAUUAGGGAAGAACAUAUGUGUAAGUAACUGUGCACAUAUUGACGGUACCUAAUCAGAAAGCCACGGCUAACUACGUG
rnacentral:rRNA from 1 species